rnacentral:rRNA from 1 species
CGUAACCGGGCUGAAGUCGUACCGUAAGGAGCGGUGGACUGGUUACGAGUGAGAAUGUUGGCAUCAGUAGCGAGAUGUGGGUGAGAAUCCCACAGGCCGAAAACCUAAGGUUUCCUCAGGAAGGUUCGUCCGCUGAGGGUUAGUCGGGACCUAAGCCGAGGCCGAAAGGCGUAGGUGAUGGACAACUGGUUGAUAUUCCAGUACCACUACCAUCGUUAUUAUCGAUGGCGUGACGCAGGAGGAUAGUGUGUGCUAGCUAUUGGAUGCUAGUCUAAGCGUUUAGGCAGUGAGAGUAGGCAAAUCCGCU